rnacentral:rRNA from 1 species
GAUGAACGCUGGCGGCGUGCUUAACACAUGCAAGUCGAACGGAAAGGCCCAAGCUUGCUUGGGUACUCGAGUGGCGAACGGGUGAGUAACACGUGGGUGAUCUGCCCUGCACUUCGGGAUAAGCCUGGGAAACUGGGUCUAAUACUGGAUAGGACCACUUCUUGGAUGGUGUGGUGGAAAGUUUUUUCGGUGUGGGGUGAGCUCGCGGCCUAUCAGCUUGUUGGUGGGGUAGUGGCCUACCAAGGCGUCGACGGGUAGCCGGCCUGAGAGGGUGUACGGCCACACUGGGCCUGAGAGACGGCCCAGAGUCCUACGGGAGGCAGCAGUGGGGAAUAUUGGACAAUGGGCGACAGCCUGAGGCAGCGACGCCGCGUGGGGGAUGACGGCCUUCGGGUUGUAAACUCCUUUCGCUAGGGACGAAGCGUUUUUGUGACGGUACCUGGAGAAGAAGCACCGGCUAACUACGUG